CUGUUUUUCUUUUAAAAUCCCAGGUUGCCUACUCAAAAGACUAAAGGCCAGAAAGCUUAUGAAAUGUUAAAUUUUAAAAUAAUUGUUAUUAUAGUGUUUCCAUUUGUGAACAACAUAUAUGUGUGUAUGAAUAAAAUUUAUAAAUGGACAUAACCUUAUACACAAGAUUUAAAAUAACCCCUGGGCACAUGUGGGCCCAACCCAGAGAUAGCCCUUCCUGAAAUGACUGGAGCCAAGAGCCUGUCACGCUCGCGGUAUUCAGUGCAAGGUCUGAUCGCGUCUUCUGUCACUCAAGGCCUGAGGGCGCGGAGCCUGGAGCUCUAUCCAUUAAGGGCGCUGGGGUGGGAACUGUCCAAUCAGGUUCACAGUCAGAGAGGAAGGGGUGGCUCCCGGUACCUGGCGGGGCCUUUGUCUCUUGCUCCAGCCAGAGCUCGAGGUUAGCUCUUCACUGCCCUGUGUCUUCUUUCCAAGGGUCUCGGUGAUUCGGCCACAGCCUCAGCCUCCAUCACGCGGUGAACUGAUGGUGCUGGAAGAUUCAUAGACUCCAGGACAUUCCUGAAGCCGAGAAAAGGUUAAGUAGGGUCUGGCCUGGAAUACUCUCCUAGAUGAAGAUAGCCCAACCAUGAGCCACCUUCGAAGCAGAUGAGAUGAAAUUAAAGCUCUUCAACUCCUAAAGGCCCAGAGACUAUCACAAAAGAGGUCAGAAAUCCUGAAGGUCACUUUCUGACAAACUCAGGAACCCCAGGUUUAUCUUGGAGCCUCAAGAGGAGAUAAAUUCACCCAACUCAGAGUUUUGCUCUUGGUGCCCAGGCUGGAGUGCAUUGGCACGAUC
rnacentral:lncRNA from 1 species